UGGGGAAUAUUGCACAAUGGGCGAAAGCCUGAUGCAGCGACGCCGCGUGAGGGAUGACGGCCUUCGGGUUGUAAACCUCUUUCAGCAGGGAAGAAGCGAAAGUGACGGUACCUGCAGAAGAAGCGCCGGCUAACUACGUGCCAGCAGCCGCGGUAAUACGUAGGGCGCAAGCGUUGUCCGGAAUUAUUGGGCGUAAAGAGCUCGUAGGCGGUUAGUCGCGUCUGCUGUGAAAACUCGAGGCUCAACCUCGGGCUUGCAGUGGGUACGGGCUGACUAGAGUGCGGUAGGGGUGACUGGAAUUCCUGGUGUAGCGGUGGAAUGCGCAGAUAUCAGGAGGAACACCGAUGGCGAAGGCAGGUCACUGGGCCGCAACUGACGCUGAGGAGCGAAAGCAUGGGGAGCGAACAGGAUUAGAUAGCCCUGGUAGUCCAUGCCGUAAACGUUGGG
rnacentral:rRNA from 1 species